UUAAAAUCGAUGCUUGUUACCGGUUUUACACUGUAAAACUCAUUUUUCAAGCCGCGAGUUCAUUAUCACCGCACCACCGCGAACACGCCCAGGUGAAACGUGAACUUUGAGUGCAACACUGUGCGACGGCAAAGAUGUUUUUCUUCUCCGCCCGUUUCGAGGGUGAAAGUUAAACGAAAGAUCUUUGGUGGCGAAAUUCACCCCGACAAGAAGCAACCAUCGAUGCCGAGCCUCCUGUCUUCUCCGACACCCGCCGGAAUCUCGAGAUCGUAAACACAAGCGGCCAGAUGCCGCGCUGCAGGAGGAGUGACACUUUUCUUGCUCAGCCGUGGUGGCGGAGAAAGGCCGGACGGUCAGCGAGUCCUCGAGCUCUUUCACCGUUAACCCCAAAGGCCAGCCGUUAGGAGAGAAAAUAUGAGGUGAGAGGAGCAAAACAAAGAGA